rnacentral:rRNA from 1 species
AUUGAACGCUGGCGGCAGGCCUAACACAUGCAAGUCGAGCGGAAGAAGGGAGCUUGCUCCUGGAUUCAGCGGCGGACGGGUGAGUAAUGCCUAGGAAUCUGCCUGGUAGUGGGGGAUAACGUCCGGAAACGGGCGCUAAUACCGCAUACGUCCUGAGGGAGAAAGUGGGGGAUCUUCGGACCUCACGCUAUCAGAUGAGCCUAGGUCGGAUUAGCUAGUUGGUGGGGUAAAGGCCUACCAAGGCGACGAUCCGUAACUGGUCGGAGAGGAUGAUCAGUCACACUGGAGCUUGAACACGGUCCUGACUCCUACGGGAGGCAGCAGUGGGGAAUGUUGGACAAUGGGCGAAAGCCUGAUCCAGCCAUGCCGCGUGUGUUAAGAAGGUCUUCGGAUUGUAAAGCACUUUAAGUUGGGAGGAAGGGCAGUAAGUUAAUACCUUGCUGUUUUGACGUUACCAACAGAAUAAGCACCGGCUAACUUCGUG